rnacentral:rRNA from 1 species
CGGUAGUGGCGGCAGCUUACACAUGCAAGUCGAGCGGAACGAUGGUAGCUUGCUACCAGGCGUCGAGCGGCGGACGGGUGAGUAAUACUUAGGAAUCUACCUAGUAGUGGGGGAUAGCUCGGGGAAACUCGAAUUAAUACCGCAUACGUCCUACGGGAGAAAGGGGGCAACUUGUUGCUCUCGCUAUUAGAUGAGCCUAAGUCGGAUUAGCUAGAUGGUGGGGUAAAGGCCUACCAUGGCGACGAUCUGUAGCUGGUCCGAGAGGAUGAUCAGCCACACCGGGACUGAGACACGGCCCGGACUCCUACGGGAGGCAGCAGUGGGGAAUAUUGGACAAUGGGGGAAACCCUGAUCCAGCCAUGCCGCGUGUGUGAAGAAGGCCUUUUGGUUGUAAAGCACUUUAAGCAGUGAAGAAGACUCCUCGGUUAAUACCCGUGGACGAUGACAUUAGCUGCAGAAUAAGCACCGGCUAACUCUGUGCCAGCAGCCGCGGUAAUACAGAGGGUGCAAGCGUUAAUCGGAAUUACUGGGCGUAAAGCGAGCGUAGGUGGCUUGAUAAGUCAGAUGUGAAAUCCCCGGGCUUAACCUGGGAACUGCAUCUGAAACUGUUAGGCUAGAGUAGGUGAGAGGAAGGUAGAAUUCCAGGUGUAGCGGUGAAAUGCGUAGAGAUCUGGAGGAAUACCGAUGGCGAAGGCAGCCUUCUGGCAUCAUACUGACACUGAGGCUCGGAAGCGUGGGUAGCAAACAGGAUUAGAUACCCUGUAGUCCACGCCGUAAACGAUGUCUACUAGUCGUUGGGUCCCUUGAGGACUUAGUGACGCAGCUAACGCAAUAAGUAGACCGCCUGGGGAGUACGGGCCGCAAGGUUAAAACUCAAAUGAAUUGACGGGGGCCCGCACAAGCGGUGGAGCAUGUGGUUUAUUUCGAUGCAACGCGAAGAACCUUACCUGGUCUUGACAUAUCUAGAAUCCUGCAGAGAUGCGGGGAGUGCCUUCGGGAAUUAGAAAUAAAAGGGGCU